GACGAACGCUGGCGGCGUGCCUAAUACAUGCAAGUUGAGCGCUGAAGGUUGGUACUUGUCCCGACUGGAUGAGCAGCGAACGGGUGAGUAACGCGUGGGGAAUCUGCCUUUGAGCGGGGGACAACAUUUGGAAACGAAUGCUAAUACCGCAUAAAAACUUUAAACACAAGUUUUAAGUUUGAAAGAUGCAAUUGCAUCACUCAAAGAUGAUCCCGCGUUGUAUUAGCUAGUUGGUGAGGUAAAGGCUCACCAAGGCGAUGAUACAUAGCCGACCUGAGAGGGUGAUCGGCCACAUUGGGACUGAGACACGGCCCAAACGCCUACGGGAGGCAGCAGUAGGGAAUCUUCGGCAAUGGACGAAAGUCUGACCGAGCAACGCCGCGGGAGUGAAGAAGGUUUUCGGAUCGUAAAACUCUGUUGGUAGAGAAGAACGUUGGUGAGAGUGGAAAGCGCAUCAAGUGACGGUAACUACCCAGAAAGGGACGGCUAACUACGUG
rnacentral:rRNA from 1 species